AACGAACGCUGGCGGCAGGCCUAACACAUGCAAGUCGAGCGGGACCUUCGGGUCUAGCGGCGGACGGGUGAGUAUCGCGUGGGAAUGUGCCCUUCUCUACGGAAUAGCCUCGGGAAACUGAGAGUAAUACCGUAUACGCCCUUUGGGGGAAAGAUUUAUCGGAGAAGGAUCAGCCCGCGUUGGAUUAGGUAGUUGGUGGGGUAAUAGCCUACCAAGCCGACGAUCCAUAGCUGGUUUGAGAGGAUGAUCAGCCACACUGGGACUGAGACACGGCCCAGACUCCUACGGGAGGCAGCAGUGGGGAAUCUUAGACAAUGGGGGAAACCCUGAUCUAGCCAUGCCGCGUGAGUGAUGAAGGCCUUAGGGUUGUAAAGCUCUUUCAGCUGGGAAGAUAAUGACGGUACCAGCAGAGGAAGCCCCGGCUAACUCCGUGCCAGCAGCCGCCGUAAUAC
rnacentral:rRNA from 1 species